rnacentral:rRNA from 1 species
UACGGAGGAGGCAAGCGUUAUCCGGAAUUAUUGGGCUUAAAGCGUCCGUAGGUGGCUCUUCAAGUCUGCUGUCAAAGAGUGGGGCUUAACCCUGCAAAGGCAGUGGAAACUGAAAGGCUAGAGUGCCGUAGGGGUAGAGGGAAUUCCCGGUGUAGCGGUGAAAUGCGUAGAGAUCGGGAAGAACAUCGGUGGCGAAAGCGCUCUACUGGACGGUAUCUGACACUGAGGGACGAAAGCUAGGGGAGCGAAUGGG